UACGUAGGGGGCAAGCGUUGUCCGGAAUCAUUGGGCGUAAAGCGCGUGUAGGCGGUUCGGUAAGUCUGCUGUGAAAGUCCAGGGCUCAACCCUGGAAAGCCGGUGGAUACUGUCGGACUAGAGUGCGGAAGAGGCGAGUGGAAUUCCCGGUGUAGCGGUGAAAUGCGUAGAUAUUGGGAAGAACACCUGAGGCGAAGGCGGGUUGCUGGGCCGACACUGACGCUGAGGCGCGAAAGCCAGGGGAGCGAACGGG
rnacentral:rRNA from 1 species